UACGUAGGGUGCAAGCGUUGUCCGGAAUUAUUGGGCGUAAAGAGCUCGUAGGCGGUCUGUCGCGUCGGCUGUGAAAACCCGGAGCUCAACUCCGGGCCUGCAGUCGAUACGGGCAAACUGGAGUGUUGCAGGGGAGACUGGAAUUCCUGGUGUAGCGGUGAAAUGCGCAGAUAUCAGGAGGAACACCGGUGGCGAAGGCGGGUCUCUGGGCAACAACUGACGCUGAGGAGCGAAAGUGUGGGGAGCGAACAGG
rnacentral:rRNA from 1 species